GAUGAACGCUGGCGGCGUGCCUAAUACAUGCAAGUCGAGCGAACAGACGAGGAGCUUGCUCCUCUGACGUUAGCGGCGGACGGGUGAGUAACACGUGGAUAACCUACCUAUAAGACUGGGAUAACUUCGGGAAACCGGAGCUAAUACCGGAUAAUAUAUUGAACCGCAUGGUUCAAUAGUGAAAGACGGUUUUGCUGUCACUUAUAGAUGGAUCCGCGCCGCAUUAGCUAGUUGGUAAGGUAACGGCUUACCAAGGCAACGAUGCGUAGCCGACCUGAGAGGGGGGUCGGCCCCAACGGAAAGUGACCAACGUCCAGACUCCUAAGGGAGGGCGCAGUAGGGAAUCUUUCGCAAUUGGCGAAAGCCUGACGGAGCAACGCCGCGUGAGUGAUGAAGGUCUUCGGAUCGUAAAACUCUGUUAUUAGGGAAGAACAAAUGUGUAAGUAACUAUGCACGUCUUGACGGUACCUAAUCAGAAAGCCACGGCUAACUACGUG
rnacentral:rRNA from 1 species